AGGCUUAAUAGGAUAAGCAAUAAUCCAAUGGCCUUCAAAGCCGUAAAUAGGGGUCGUCUCUUUAGCCUG
rnacentral:tRNA from 1 species